UGGAUGCGGGCAGCUACACAUGCAGUCGAACGGGCUCUUCGGAGCUAGUGGCGGACGGGUGAGUAACACGUGGGAACGUGCCUUUAGGUUCGGAAUAAGCCCGGGAAACUGGGUCUAAUACCGAAUGUGCCCUUCGGGGGAAAGAUUUAUCGCCUUUAGAGCGGCCCGCGUCUGAUUAGCUAGUUGGUGGUGUAAUGGACCACCAAGGCUACGAUCAGUAGCUGGUCUGAGAGGAUGACCAGCCACAUUGGGACUGAGACACGGCCCAAACUCCUACGGGAGGCAGCAGUGGGGAAUCUUGCGCAAUGGGCGAAAGCCUGACGCAGCCAUGCCGCGUGUAUGAUGAAGGUCUUAGGAUUGUAAAAUACUUUCACCGGUGAAGAUAAUGACUGUAGCCGGAGAAGAAGCCCCGGCUAACUUCGUGCCAGCAGCCGCGGUAAUACGAAGGGGGCUAGCGUUGCUCGGAAUUACUGGGCGUAAAGGGAGCGUAGGCGGACAUUUAAGUCAGGGGUGAAAUCCCAGAGCUCAACUCUGGAACUGCCUUUGAUACUGGGUGUCUUGAGUGUGAUAGAGGUAUGUGGAACUCCGAGUGUAGAGGUGAAAUUCGUAGAUAUUCGGAAGAACACCAGUGGCGAAGGCGACAUACUGGAUCAUUACUGACGCUGAGGCUCGAAAGCGUGGGGAGCAAACAGGAUUAGAUACCCUGGUAGUCCACGC
rnacentral:rRNA from 1 species